CCUACGGGAGGUAGCAGUAGGGAAUCUUCCACAAUGGGCGAAAGCCUGAUGGAGCAACGCCGCGUGGGUGAAGAAGGUCUUCGGAUCGUAAAACCCUGUUGUUAGAGAAGAAAGUGCGUGAGAGUAACUGUUCACGUUUCGACGGUAUCUAACCAGAAAGCCACGGCUAACUACGUGCCAGCAGCCGCGGUAAUACGUAGGUGGCAAGCGUUAUCCGGAUUUAUUGGGCGUAAAGGGAACGCAGGCGGUCUUUUAAGUCUGAUGGGAAAGCCUUCGGCUUAACCGGAGUAGUGCAUUGGAAACUGGGAGACUUGAGUGCAGAAGAGGAGAGUGGAACUCCAUGUGUAGCGGUGAAAUGCGUAGAUAUAUGGAAGAACACCAGUGGCGAAAGCGGCUCUCUGGUCUGUAACUGACGCUGAGGUUCGAAAGCGUGGGUAGCAAACAGGAUUAGAUACCCCAGUAGUC
rnacentral:rRNA from 1 species